UUGGGGAAAGAACAAAAUUAUCCUCGUGAGACUAAUAGAUGGUUAGGGAUUUAGUCUGGGACGGUCCCAGGGAAUCUGACCACGGUGGGAAUAAAUCUCCACAGAACUGAGUGGGAAAUCUCGCUCCUGGAGAGACGGUACGGAAUUUGACGGGAUAUUGAAGCAAUUAUCAACAUGCAUCGAUUCACCACCCUCUGACUAAGGAAAUUCCUCCUCGUCUUUCUAAAGACAGCUUCACAAUUGUAACAAAAGUACAACUAAGAGACAGCUCCGGAGCAGAACAUAUCUGAGGAUUGAAGUGAAGAACUAAGGCAUUUCUGACAUUACGUUGCACAACAAUGUCCUGCAACCUCAGAUACCGAGCUUCAGUUUCAAGUGGAGCCAUAUCCAUCUUGGCCUCAAGAAAGCCCAGUAUCAGUUCAAAAGCAUCCAGCAUCAAACGCAAAGCAGUACACACACCCUAGUCUACAUCGAAGGCGCCGACGUAGAAAUGGUCAAAAGUUUCGAGGUCUUAGGAAUAAACAUCAGCAGCAAUUUGUCCUGGAGCAGCCACAUCAGAGCGAGGCGAAGAAAGCACAACAACGCCUCGACUGCCUUUAGAAGUCUUAGCAAGUUCGGCGUGUCCUCAACAACCCUCACCACUUCUACAGAUGCGCCGUAGAAAGGAUCUGAUCGAGUUGCGUCAGUGCCUGUUUUGGGAACAGCUCCGCCCAAGGCUGCAAGAAAUUGCAGAGAAUUGUGGACGCAGCUCAGACCAUCACACGAGUCAUCCUCCCUUCCCUUGACUCCAUCUACACUUCACGCUACUUCGGCAAGGCCACCAGCAUAAUCAAUCCCUCUUCUCCCCUCUCCCAUCAGGCAAGAGGUACAAAAUUGUGAAAACGCACACCUCCAGAUUCAGCGACAGUUCCUUCCUAGCUGUUAUUGGGGAACUGAACCUUCCUCUCCCCAGCAUGCGUGCAGUCCUGGCCCCCCAUCUAUCUUAUUAGAGACCUUUCAACUAUCUUUAAUCAGACUUUAGCGGAUGUCAAUGCUAUAUCCUGCACUAUAUGUGCACUGUGGAUGGCUUGAUUGGAAUCAUGCAUUGUCUUUCCACUGACUGGAUAGCAAGCAAACAAAAAGCUUUUUACUUUUACAUGUGACAAUAAUAAACUAAACUAAAUUAAACGGAUUCUUCACUCCAUCUACAGCUACAAUGUGGGAAACUAUAUUCUGCAACCUGUAUCUUCCCCUUUGCUCGGUCUAUUAAACUUGGGUUUGGCUUGAGCGUUUGUACCUAUAGUAUUAUCUGACUGACUUAUCGAGUUAUCGGAGGGACUGGAUAGAUUGAACUUUUUCCCCUGAAGCAAUAGAGACUGAUGUGUGACCAGAUAGAGGUUUUGUUUAAU